GAUGAAGAACGUAGCGAAAUGCGAUAAGUAGUGUGAAUUGCAGAAUUCAGUGAAUCAUCGAAUCUUUGAACGCACAUUGCGCCCCUUGGUAUCCCGAGGGGCAUGCCUGUUCGAGCGUCAUUUCACCACUCAAGCCUGGCUUGGUGUUGGGCGACGUCCCCUUUGGGGACGCGCCUCGAAACGUUCGGCGGCGUGGCACCGGCUUUAAGCGUAGCAGAAUCUUUCGCUUUGGAAGUCGGGGCCCCGUCUGCCGGAAGACCUACUCGCAAGGUUGACCUCGGAUCAGGCAGGGAUACCCGCUGAACUUAAGCAUAUCAAUAAGCGGAGGA
rnacentral:misc_RNA from 1 species